AGAGUUUGAUCCUGGCUCAGAAUCAACGCUGGCGGCGUGCCUAACACAUGCAAGUCGCGCGCGAAAGGGGGGCAACCCCCGAGUAGAGCGGCGAACGGGUGAGUAACGCGUGGGUGAUCUGCCUCCGAGUGGGGAAUAACACCGGGAAACUGGUGCUAAUACCGCAUGACAUCCUCGAGUCGCAUCGGGGAUCAAAGCCGGGGACCGCAAGGCCUGGCGCUUGGAGAUGAGCCCGCGUCCGAUUAGCUAGUUGGCGGGGUAACGGCCCACCAAGGCUUCGAUCGGUAGCCGGCCUGAGAGGGCGGACGGCCACACUGGGACUGAGACACGGCCCAGACUCCUACGGGAGGCAGCAGUGGGGAAUUUUUCGCAAUGGGGGAAACCCUGACGAAGCAACGCCGCGUGGAGGAUGAAGGCCUUCGGGUCGUAAACUCCUGUCGACCGGGAAGAAUGCGCCCGACCUAAUACGUCGAAGUGUUGACUGUACCGGUGGAGGAAGCCACGGCUAACUCUGUGCCAGCAGCCGCGGUAAUACAGAGGUGGCAAGCGUUGUUCGGAAUUACUGGGCGUAAAGGGCGCGUAGGCGGCCCGCCAAGUCCCGUGUGAAAGCCCCCGGCUCAACCGGGGAACGGCGCGGGAAACUAGCAGGCUUGAGUUCGGGAGAGGGAAGCGGAAUUCCGGGUGUAGCGGUGAAAUGCGCAGAUAUCCGGAGGAACACCGGUGGCGAAGGCGGCUUCCUGGACCGACACUGACGCUGAGGCGCGAAAGCUAGGGGAGCAAACGGGAUUAGAUACCCCGGU
rnacentral:rRNA from 1 species